AGUGAACGCUGGCGGUAGGCCUAACACAUGCAAGUCGAACGGCAGCACAGUAAGAGCUUGCUCUUACGGGUGGCGAGUGGCGGACGUGUGAGGAAUACAUCGGAAUCUACUUUUUCGUGGGGGAUAACGUAGGUAAACUUACGCUAAUACCGCAUACGACCUACGGGUGAAAGCAGGGGAUCUUCGGACCUUGCGCGAUUGAAUGAGCCGCUGUCGGAUUAGCUAGUUGGCGGGGUAAAGGCCCACCAAGGCGACGAUCCGUAGCCGGUCUGAGAGGAUGAUCAGCCACACUGGAACUGAGACACGGUCCAGACUCCUAAGGGAGGCAGCAGUCGGGAAUAUUGGACAAUGGGCGCAAGCAUGAUCCAGCCAUACCGCGUGGGUGAAGAAGGCCUUCGGGUUGUAAAGCCCUUUUGUUGGGAAAGAACAGCAGCAGGUUAAUACCCCGCUGUUCUGACGGUACCCAAAGAAUAAGCACCGGCUAACUUCGUG
rnacentral:rRNA from 1 species